rnacentral:rRNA from 1 species
UACGGAGGGUGCGAGCGUUGUCCGGAAUCAUUGGGCGUAAAGGGCGCGUAGGUGGCCUGGUCAGUUCGUGGUGAAAGCGCGGGGCUCAACUCCGCGUCGGCCAUGAAUACUGCUGGGCUGGAGCACUGUAGAGGCAGGCGGAAUUCCGGGUGUAGCGGUGGAAUGCGUAGAGAUCCGGAAGAACACCGGUGGCGAAGGCGGCCUGCUGGGCAGUGGCUGACACUGAGGCGCGACAGCGUGGGG